ensembl:lncRNA
CUUUGUUAUUCUUUCUUGUUUUCACUUUAUUUGUAUAAAUGUAUUUUCAUUCUUUUAUUUUGAAAAGCAACAUUUAUUUUGAAAAAAAGGAAGUGUGAUCCUCCAGCAAACUUUAUUUUUCCUGUUGCCGGAUCACAAGGGAUAAAUGCCUUUUUCAUUGGUUGAAGGUGGUUUUAGCCCCGUCUUCCAAAACACCAGACCAUCAUUUCACAUGAGCUAGGUCUUUUCGCACGUGGAAGUAGAUGAGACAGGCCACGGAUAGCUCGUGCGGAAUUUUAUAUCAUUUUGCUCCUUGUCUCAGAGUGGGAGGGAUUUGAAGCACAAAGGGAGGAGCUUGUUGUUUGGUUGGCUGAUAUGGAUGUCCACCUGGGUGAGGCUGACCAGCUGACAGGAAACACCUGUGAAAAACUGAAACAACUGCAGGUGUGGGGUUGUUUUGAUAUGACAUAUAUUUGAUAUGAUACAUACGUCAGAGACAUUGUCCUAAACUGGACAAACAAAGAACCAUGAGUCCAAAAUGAAACAUACCUUACACAAGCUGCAGAGUAUGAAGGUGUGCCCCGUGCAGAAGUAAUAGAUGAAGAUCUGACAGAAGACCAACAACAAAAUCACCAUGUCAUGAAGGCUGUGGACAGGAGUUACUCAUAUCAUGUGAGGGUGAAGACACAACACUGCUUGAUAAGAAUGUUAAGGUGUGCUGUGUUUUGGUGAAUAUGUGCCCCAGUGUGGUUGUCAAACCAGGGCCAAAUGAAACUUGCUCUUGUUGAAUAUUCAUAAAACUGCUGUGUUGCAUGUACA